AAGUGUUACAAUAUAGGAAGCAAUCAGGGAUAGGGGGAGAUUUAGGAUCAGUGGAGAGAGAGAGCCAGGAGAGGGCAGGGGAAAGUCACAGGGUGUCUCCCUUGUUGCCCCCCAUGGCCUGAAGCCCCGGGGCACCAUGUGGGUGAGCUGGGUGUUGCUGUGGAUUCUCCACGCUGGAUGUGAGGGGAUGAGAGCCCAAAGGAGGAUCCCCAUGGACACG